UACGGAAGGCAGCAGUGGGGAAUAUUGCACAAUGGGCGCAAGCCUGAUGCAGCCAUGCCGCGUGUAUGAAAAAGGCCUUCGGGUUGUAAAGUACUUUCAGUCGUGAGGAAGGUGUUAAGGUUAAUAACCUUAGCAAUUGACGUUAGCGACAGAAGAAGCACCGGCUAACUCCGUGCCAGCAGCCGCGGUAAUAUGGAGGGUGCGAGCGUUAAUCGGAAUUACUGGGCGUAAAGGGCACGCAGGCGGUUAAUUAAGUUGGAUGUGAAAUCCCCGGGCUUAACCUGGGAAUGGCAUUCAAGACUGGUUAGCUAGAGUCUUGUAGAGGGGGUAGAAUUCCAUGUGUAGCGGUGAAAUGCGUAGAGAUGUGGAGGAAUACCGGUGGCGAAGGCGGCCCCUGGGACAAAGACUGACGCUCAUGUGCGAAAGCGUGGGGAGCAAACAGGGAUUAGAUACC
rnacentral:rRNA from 1 species